rnacentral:rRNA from 1 species
UUGACCUCGGAUCAGGUAGGGAUACCCGCUGAACUUAAGCAUAUCAAUAAGCGGAGGAAAAGAAACCAACAGGGAUUGCCUCAGUAACGGCGAGUGAAGCGGCAACAGCUCAAAUUUGAAAUCUGCCUCUAGGCCGAGUUGUAAUUUGUAGAAGAUGCUUCGGGUGUGGCACCGGUCUAAGUUCCUUGGAACAGGACGUCAUAGAGGGUGAGAAUCCCGUACGUGACUGGCUGCCUUCGCCUAUGUGAAGCUCCUUCGACGAGUCGAGUUGUUUGGGAAUGCAGCUC